UAACUGGGUGUAAAGGGUUUGUAGGUUGAUGGUUAAGUMGAUAUGAAAGACCGAAGCUUAACUUCGAGUUAGUAUUUGAAACUGGCUAUCUAGAAUCAGGGAGAGGUAAGCGGAAUUCUAAGUGUAGGGGUGCAAUCCGUAGAUACUUAGAGGAACACCAAAAGCGAAGGCAGCUUACUGGAACUGAAUUGACACUGAAAAACGAAAGCGUGGGGAGCGAAAAGGAUUAGAUACCCUUGUAGUCCACGCCCUAAACGAUGACAACUAAGUGUUGCGACUAGCUCGCAGUGCUGUAGCAAACGCGUUAAGUUGUCCACCUGAGGAGUACGGUCGCAAGAUUAAAACUCAAAGGAAUAGACGGGGACCCACACAAGCAGUGGAUCACGUGGUUUAAUUCGAUAAUAAACGGGGAACCUUACCCAGACUUGACAUCCUAGGAAUGCACCAGAGAUGGAGCAGUGCUCGCAAGAGAACCUAGAGACAGGUGCUGCAUGGUUGUCGUCAGCUCGUGUCGUGAGAAG
rnacentral:rRNA from 1 species